rnacentral:rRNA from 1 species
UACGUAGGGUGCAAGCGUUGUCCGGAAUUAUUGGGCGUAAAGAGCUCGUAGGCGGUUCGUCGCGUCGGCUGUGAAAACCCGAGGCUCAACCUCGGGCCUGCAGUCGAUACGGGCGGACUGGAGUUCGGCAGGGGAGACUGGAAUUCCUGGUGUAGCGGUGAAAUGCGCAGAUAUCAGGAGGAACACCAAUAGCGAAGGCAGCUCGCUGGGACGGUACUGACGCUAAGGCGCGAAAGCGUGGGGAGCGAACAGG